AUAGAAUAGAAUACAAAGAAAACAAUUGGAGUCUCUUCUGGAAUAUAUUAACCGCUCUUUCUUCUUUGAUUUUUUCAAAGUUCUCUUCCGAUAUCAUGGCAUUAAGAGGAAAUAUCGAUCAAGUAACACCUGACACACCGGAUUGGACAUGUAAAGUCCAAAUUGUGAGAAAAAAUUUGGAUUUCAGAAUCUGAUUUUUAGAAGAUGAAGAGUUGACGCUUUACAGGAACAACAAAUUAGAGGAGUCGUGUGGGGAGAUGACAUUCAAUAUUAUGCAGACAAGCUUAAGCUCUUCCACACAUAUCUCAUCUCCACUGCAAGAGUUAAAGUUUCAUCUACACAGUAUGGAAGACCCUUACAUAAAUUUUAUUGGGUGCUUGACAAAGAACAUUAGUUGAAGAAACAUAUACGAUUUUAUAUAAUAUACACACCUCAUUAUACUUCAUUUUUUUCAAAAAUAUUGAUAUACACACCUCAUUAUACUUAUUUUUUUUUUCAAAAAUAUUCUUUGAAAAAAACUUAUAUUAGCAGAUAUACUAGCAGUCGUUGUCCAUUGUGGCCUUCCAAAAUAUGCAGGUCGAGGUCCAAAUAGGUGUCGCGAGAUUAUUGUCACCGACAAUCAGAAAAAACGACUUCUUCUAACCUUAUGGGAGGACUUCUCAGAAGUUGAAGGAACCAAAAUCCAACAGAAAAUCGAGUCGAAAGUGAACUACGAUGAAAGAUAUCCAGUAAUCCUUGGGAGAAGUAUCGGAAUAUCUCCCUAUAACGGUUUAUCAUUGCAAACCAGAUUCAACUCAACAAUACAAAUUGAUCCUGCUUAUCCACAAGCAUUGGAGUUGAUCAAGUGGGCAAAAGCAAACAAAGACAUGCUCACAGGUUGUGCCAAGGUCAUCCACCUCUCUCAUGAUAAUUCCUACCCAACAACAAAUUAUUCCAAUUGCAGAAAUUCAGUCACAAACUUCUACUGGGAUUUUUUAUGUUGAGGCCGAAAUAUCAAUAUCAAGUGAGUUGCAAAAGUUCUGUGUGCUUGAAUGCUCGGGUUGCAAACAGAAGUUGCGAACUAAGGAAAGAAGAGAUUUUGACUGCACCAAGUGUAAACGACGGGCAACUUUAGUUCCUCGGUGUAUGUGCCAGAUUGAUCUUAUUGAUGGUAGCGGUUCAACAACUGCAAUGAUUUUCGGUGAUGUCACUGAAAAGAUGCUCUCAAUGACAGCAGAAGACAUAUUUGACACAACUUGUGUCAAGAGACAACUCUUGUCCAUUAACCAUGUCCUGGACAUAUUUUCAGACAGAAUCUUUCGAAUCCAAUUAAGAAAAUCAUCUUGGAAAAGUUCUGACUUUGUGCGUACAAGUCUAUCAGUUCUGUCCUACGUAGAAAAGGAACAUAUCUUUGCACCAAAAAUUAGCGAGAGAAGCCAAAAAAAAGGUAAAGCCUCUAAGUACAGAUGAGAGAGAAAUAGAAAUGAGAUAGAAAUAGAAAUGGAAGCAGCAGAUGUGAUCUCUAAAUAUUCAAGCGCAGGGCUGAAACUACAACCACCAACACCAUCAAAAAAAGUGUAAAGGAAGUAUUGGCCUUUUUUUGUGAUCUUUUGCUACUGUAAAAGAAAACCUUUUUUGGGGCUCUUACAUGAAUGGUUGAUCGCAGCC